rnacentral:tRNA from 4 species
ACGCCCGUAGCUCAUCUGGAUAGAGCGUCUGUCUACGAAACAGAAGGUAAUAGGUUCGAGUCCUGUCGGGCGUGCCA